AGCGCGGGUCCGUAGGUGGCGGCGGGCAGCCCCCUUCCCUUCCUCUCCUCCCCUUCCCUCCCCGCCUCCCGCUGCCUGAGCGGGCCAAGCUGCGGGCGCUCGUUUGCGGCCUUCUCGCUCUGGGCGAGGGGCCAGAGCGCCCCGGGCGGCGCUGCUAAAACCCGCACGAGGGGAUUAAAGCAACAGGAAACGAUCUAAUUCCUUCUCCUCCUUCCGCCAUCCGCUGCCUUUCGGGGGCAGAUUCCGUCAUGAAUUAAAAGAUCCGAGGCUGAGCGUGAACAGGGCGCUUGCUCGGGAUGGUGGAGGGCUGAGCGAGGUUUUGGGGAGAGAGGUGAAGUUUCUGGGAAGACUGGCGUGAAGUCUGAUGAAUUACUCUCUAUUUCCAAGAAAUGUGCACUUUCCCCUCCUUUAACAGAAGUUUCAAGAAAGCUUUUUCAGUUACUAUUGCUUUUUGUCAGAAGUUGAAAAUCUGUUUCACACAGAGAAUACUCACCUGGACAGGACAGUAUUGGUAAGUU